CCUACGGGAGGCAGCAGUGGGGAAUAUUGCACAAUGGGCGAAACCCUGAUGCAGCGACGCCGCGUGAGUGAAGAAGUCCUUCGUUAUGUAAAGCUCUAUCAGCCGGGAAGAAAAUGACGGUACCUGAGUACGAAGCAACGGCUAACUCCGUGCCAGCAGCCGCGGUAAUACGUAGGGGGCAAGCGUUAUCCGGAUUUACUGGGUGUAAAGGGAACGUAGACGGCAGUGCAAGUCUGGAGUGAAAUGCGGGGGCUUAACCCCCGGACUGCUCUGGAUACUGGACGGCUAGAGUGCAGGAGAGGUAAGUGGAAUUCCUAGUGUAGCGGUGAAAUGCGUAGAGAUGAGGAGGAACACCAGUGGCGAAGGCGGCUUACUGGACUAAAACUGACGUUGAGGCGCGAAAGCGUGGGGAGCAAACAGGAUUAGAUACCCGAGUAGUC
rnacentral:rRNA from 1 species